GACCCAGUGGCGGAAGGUAAGCGCCCCGCGUGUUAUGCCGGCGGGAAGUCCUGGUUCGACCCCAGGCUGGGUCA